GAUGUCACCAACCCAAAAUAACAUCAGUCUUGGAUUUGGGAUUCAGACUAUAGACUAGUUGAAGAGUUGAGUAUCAUCAUGAUGAGUUAACUAGGCAAGUAUUACGCCACAAUUAUUAUAUUCAUGGAUCAUGAAAUAAUCUUGGAGCCAGAAAACUGGGCUGAGAAGGAGCAAGAUGGUGCAACAAUGACAUCUAUCCACUUCCAAGUCCAAGGGAAACACAGAUGUAGCCACUGCUGGAGAAGCAGUGUCUUCACUGGACAUCCAGAUCUCCAUUAUAGCAAAAAGGAAGCUUUCAGGGUCUGGAUUUUAUACAUUCCAUCCACCUGCCUGGAGAGGGAGGAGCACCACACAGAUAGGUAAGGAACAAGCAAAAAGCUCGAGGCCAUGUGUUCCCAGUGUGUUGAAGACAAGCAAAGGGAUGACAGACCGUUGGCCAGGAGAUUUUCUGCUAUCAAACAAAUGAUUAUUUAUUGAGAAUAUCUACACCCCCAGCACCAUCCAUGUCAGAUCCUCGUCAUGCUAUAUUGCCAGUUGCUAACUUACUACAGCAAGACUCAGGCCUAUUCUCUUGCAAUUGCACUCAAAAGUGAGAUCGAUCCAGGACAAUGAAAAAUUGAUUACCAGACCAAGAUCUUGCCCCUUUUCUCCCCAGGGACCUCACAGGAAGGUGGAGAUAAGAAAGGGAACUUUCAUAUCCUACUCUAAUGACCAACUGCCCUGCAGCUUCUGCACUGGAAUCAGAUGUUCCCAACCUGAGACUGACAAUUCUAGAUCACAGAACUCUUGAGUUCCAGGAGCUGGAUUUAUGAAAAAAGGAAUAUGAGAUGCCAAAGCAUCAGAAAGAGAGGGUACCAUUUUCUUAGCUAAUAUUUUACUUUUUCCCUAUCAAAUCCAC